UACGAAGGGUGCAAGCGUUACUCGGAAUUACUGGGCGUAAAGCGUGCGUAGGUGGUUUGUUAAGUCUGAUGUGAAAGCCCUGGGUUCAACCUGGGAAUUGCAUUGGAUACUGGCAGGCUAGAGUGCGGUAGAGGAUGGCGGAAUUCCCGGUGUAGCAGUGAAAUGCGUAGAGAUCGGGAGGAACAUCUGUGGCGAAGGCGGCCAUCUGGACCAGCACUGACACUGAGGCACGAAAGCGUGGGGAGCAAACAGG
rnacentral:rRNA from 1 species